GCAUAAUCAUUAGUUUUUUAAUUGAAGACUGGAAUGAAAGGUAAUAACUGAAAGGUUAGUUCUUAAUUAAAUAUUUUGAAUUUAAAUUAAUAAUAAAAAUGUUAUUAUAAAUCUUUGGGACGAGAAGACCCUAGAAGUUUAAAAUUAAGAAAUUUUUUGUUGGGGCAAUAAUUGAAGAAUUAUAAUAAUUUUUAAUUUAAAAAGAAUAAGAUAUUAAAAUUACUCUAGGGAUAACAGCGUUAUUUAAUUAGCAAGUUCUUAUUAAUAAUUAAAAUUGCGACCUCGAUGUUGAAUUAAAU
rnacentral:rRNA from 1 species